UAAUCUUUAAAAACCAUUAUUUCUCAUAAUGCAUUUAGAAUUAUGGUUCUCAACUCUGGCUGCAGAAAAACAAAAACCUGAUGUUUAGGUCUAGAAAAGACAAAUCUAGAGAUACUCAGAUUAAUGGCCACCUAGAGCUGGGAGUAGAAACAGGGAGUGACUAAAUAGACAUGAAGUUUCUUUUUGGGUGAUGGAAACAUUCUGGUUUGUAUGAUGUGGUAAGGGCUGCACAAGUCUUUAAAUUUACUAAAAUCAUAUAUUAAAAUAAGUGGAUUUUAUGGUAUAUAGAUUAUACCUCCAUAAAGCUGUUCAAAAAAACAUUGAUACUUGGGCUCCCUGUGAGAUACUUGCAAUUAGAUUGGUCUAGGAUGGGAGCGACAGGGAUGGUUUGUUUUUGAGGCAGAGUCUCCCUCUGUCACCUAGGCUGGAGUGCAGUGGCGCGAUCUCGGCUCACUGCAACCUCCGCCUCUACCGGGUUCAAUUGAUUCUCAUGCCUCAGCCUCCCAAGUAGCUAGGAUUACAGACAUGUAUAGUUCCACCUUUCAGAAUUGUAGGUUAAAAGCUAAAAGGAUAUUUUGAAUAUACACUUAAGAUGGAUAUGAAGUAAGUUGGAAUUGUCCAGGUAAGUCCAAGGAAGAAAGUGAAGGGAUUCAAAGUUAUAGCACAUAAGAAAAAAAAGACAUUAAACCAGAGGAGCUAGGGAUGAGAGGUGGAGAAGUAGAGAUAAUCGCUAUCCUCAAAUGUUGUAAAGCUGCCUAACAGAGAUGCAACUCAACUAGUUUUUCAUAUUCUCAACCAGGAUUGAUGAGGCUACAGGAAGAUAGAUUUCAGGUCGAUCUUCACAAUAAUCCUGCUCUAGGCGUUGUGUCAGAUCCUGGAGAUAUAUUCUACAGUGACUAUAUUCUAGUGGUCCUCAAACUUUGUGUUCGUCACAGUCACCUGCAGGGCUUGUUAAAACGCAGGUUGUUGGCCCCACUCCCAGAGUUUCUGUUUCAGGAGGUCUAGGGUAGGGCCUCAUAAUUUGCAUUUCUAAUGAAUUCCCAGAUGACGGUGAUGCUGUCCAUGCAGAAACCUCACUCUGAGGACCAGUGUCUAGUCUAAACGCUAUUAGAGCUCCAAGAAAGGACAUCUUAUUCAGAUUAGAUGGAGAGGAACAACCUGAAGGACUUCUCAGAGGAAUUUGGGGAUGAGCUGAAUUUUGAAGAAUGAGAAGGUAGUAAGGAGAAAAGGUAGAUGAGGUUAUGGCAGUCCAAACACAGAGAACAUUAGGGGAGCAAUAAUGUAUAGGAAGGAAUGAAGGCAUGAAACAGCAUUCCUUCAGGUUAUCUGUUGCAUGUUUACUCUAUGCAUUGUAUUGUUCCAGUUGCUGUGUAUGGAGGGAUAAAGGAAACAAAACCUCUGCUCUCAUGGAACUUUUACACAAAUAUGCCAUAUAUGGCAAAGUCCCCUAAUGGAAUAGAACAGGCCAUUGCAAGAGAGAACAUGGGGGCCUCUGAAGAGAUAACAUUUAAGCUGACAUCUUAAGAAUGAGCGAGCUGAGACUGUUGAGAGAUGCUGGUGAAAAUAACCAGGAAACCAUGAGCCUCCAGCCUAGCUGUCAACCACCCACCCACCAAUACCCAAGAAGUAAUGAAGAGAAAGGCCCUGUCUCAACCUAGGUCCAGAAGCACUAUCAAGGUUCCCAAGACAACCUUGAAAGGGAAGGGAGACCUCCAAGGG
rnacentral:lncRNA from 1 species